AAUCUUCGUCCGCACAAAUCCAUCUCGAAUCCUCCUGCUUCCGGCGAGCUCCAAGUCUUCGCAGCAUCAGCCAUGUCGGGCCGCGGCAAGGGAGGCAAGGGCCUGGGCAAGGGCGGCGCGAAGCGCCACCGGAAGGUGCUCCGCGACAACAUCCAGGGCAUCACGAAGCCGGCGAUCCGGAGGUUGGCGAGGAGGGGUGGCGUGAAGCGCAUCUCCGGCCUGAUCUACGAGGAGACUCGCGGCGUGCUCAAGAUCUUCCUCGAGAACGUCAUCCGCGACGCCGUUACCUACACGGAGCACGCCCGCCGCAAGACCGUCACCGCCAUGGACGUCGUCUACGCGCUCAAGCGCCAGGGCCGCACACUCUACGGCUUCGGCGGCUGAGCCUUGACCCCGUCCGCGUCCUGCAGGCUCGAGCUAGGGUUUCUGAUGGAUUUAGGGGAGUUGCUGUGUUGGGUUCUGUCCUGUGUCUAGCUGCGUUGUGGUGUUAACUUAAUAGGUGUUUAUGGUUGUAAUGGAGAAUUGGAAGCCUAUCAAUUGAAUGAAUGGAUGUUCGUAGGUAUAAUUUGGUGUUCUUGGUCCCUCUGUUCCCAUUGGCUCUGUUCUUGUUCUGAUGACUGGUCAAGUAUUGUUUGUGGCCCUCUUAAGUAGUCCUGUAAUGUUUCUUUGGAAAUUUGCAGUCUCCGUCGAUGAUUUGUGACUUUAAUUAACACUAGUUUGUGGUUUAUGUCUCAGUCUAGCCUGAUUAGCAAUCGAACAGGGAAAUCAAAAUCGCUAGAAAACGUUGUGCCGUCAAAGCAAAUUGGGCGCAUGAUUUGGUGGAUCUGAGACGGAUUCACUUCUGUCGUGAAGUCAGGAGACGCGUGAGCACUACGGCACCAAACUGUGAAUUCUUUAGUUCAAAAAAUGUGGCCUGGGUUGGUUUGUUGGGACACGACCCCGCUCAUAUCCGGCGAGAUGUCGUAAAGUGCCGGCCAAAAUUUCGAAAUCACGAAUGCAAUUCCUGAAAGCGAGAGAAAAACCGAAACCGAAAUUCAUAUGGCGAAAUAUCUCGAUGCCUAGCUUCGUUGGUCCGCGCCAUCUUGAUACUGGACCGAGAAUCUAAAACCUGCGAUUCCAUUUUCAGUGCGUGCUCGACACUAGCAUUGAGAUCCGAUUGAGAACCUGGCGAAGUCGACUCGCCAUCAAUCUGUUGUUCCCCUCUGAACGGAGCAGGAGGAACGAAGUCUGCAUAAAUGGAAAUGAUAAUCUCAAGUCCACAUCUGAAGGAGUCUACUAACCUUCCAGGCACCAACACAGGCAGGGACCAACCGACCCGACCCCGCAUCCACGCCGGCGCGCCACGCCCCCCGCCGCACCGACGUCCACGGCCCCAGGCGGCAACCGCCAAAGCGCCGGCGCGCCGUCCCGUCCCCUCCCCACCCGCCCUGCCGUUCCGCUGUUCCCAUCCCGCCGACCCGCUCCGCCACUCCCCAAUCUCUCCGUCCCCAACCCCACCAACCCACCAGGCGGCCGCGGCGCCCCCCUCUAAUCUCCCUCGCUUCCGCUCCACGGUGCCCGCCCGCCCACCGCUUGCCUGCCUGCCUAACCUCGUGCAGCCCGCGAUCCCGCGCCGCGACCCAGAUCUGGUGGCGCCUCGCUGCUCGCCGCUCGCGCGCGCGCUCAGGCGGCCGGCCGGUCGAUGGUUUCGGCCGCGGCGCAGGCGGGCGUGGUCGCGGCGUGCGUCGUGCUGUUCGUGCCCAUGGGGCUGGCGGGGUGGCACCUCAGCCGCAACAAGGUGCUCUUCUUCUCCGGCGCGCUCUUCGUCUCGCUCGCCGUCGGGGUCCACCUCUCCCCCUACCUCCCCUCCGUGCCCCACCUCCUCGCCGCCUCCUUCUUCACCCCCAGCCCCGGCGCCGCGUCCGCCUCCUCCUCCUCCUCCGGGUCCUCCUGCGUCCCGUUCCUGCACCGCGUGUCCUGGUCUGACGCCGACCCCGCGAAUGGCUUGGGAGGCGGAACGGCGCGGACGUGGUCGUGGCCGCCCUCGCUGGCGUCGGCCUGCGGGUUCGCGCGGCUGUCGCGCGACGACGCGUCUCUGCUGCUCAACGGGUCCUGGGUGAUGGUGGCCGGGGACUCGCAGGCGCG
rnacentral:lncRNA from 1 species